CAGGUGUGAGAAGGCGCUGCACAGAUGACGUACAGCACACACUACAGGUGUGAGAAGGCGCUGCACUGAUGACGUACAGCACACUACAGGUGUGAGAAGGCGCUGCACUGAUGACGUACAGCACACUACAGGUGUGAGAAGGCGCUGCACAGAUGACGUAC